UACGUAGGGUGCAAGCGUUGUCCGGAAUUAUUGGGCGUAAAGAGCUCGUAGGCGGUCUGUCGCGUCGGCUGUGAAAACCCGGAGCUCAACUCCGGGCCUGCAGUCGAUACGGGCAGACUGGAGUUCGGCAGGGGAGACUGGAAUUCCUGGUGUAGCGGUGAAAUGCGCAGAUAUCGGGAGGAACACCGGUGGCGAAGGCGGGUCUCUGGGCCGAUACUGACGCUGAGGAGCGAAAGCGUGGGGAGCGAACAGG
rnacentral:rRNA from 1 species